rnacentral:misc_RNA from 1 species
AAGUCGUAACAAGGUUUCCGUAGGUGAAGUUGCCCCUGCGGCUGCUGUCUGUCAGUGUCAGCGGUGGUAGUGGGAUAUCUGCAGUUUGUGUCUGAAAGUGUCAUGAGCUGUGGAUAACUGAUUCGCUAGAUGAGGAGCCCCCUGGUAUCUCACAUGUUUGUUAUGACUCUGUGGGCCUCCUCGCGACCGAUCAGACCGUUUUGGCCACACGCCAAAAUUUUUCGGGCAAGUCUAGGCUGUAAUGGCCCCUGAGUAAACUCCACAAUACCCCAAUUCGGGGGUGAGAGGAAACUCCCACCCCAAAAAAAACCGAACAACUGUUAACAAUGGAUAUCUUGGUUCUC